UACGGGGGGAGCAAGCGUUGUUCGGAUUUACUGGGCGUAAAGGGCUCGUAGGCGGCCAACUAAGUCAGACGUGAAAUCCCUCGGCUUAACCGGGGAACUGCGUCUGAUACUGGAUGGCUAGAGGUUGGGAGAGGGAUGCGGAAUUCCAGGUGUAGCGGUGAAAUGCGUAGAUAUCGAGAGGAACACCGGUGGCGAAGGCGCUCAUCUGGCCCAAUACUGACGCUGAGGCGCGAAAGCUAGGGGAGCAAACGGG
rnacentral:rRNA from 1 species